rnacentral:rRNA from 1 species
CGGGGUGAGUAACGCGUGGGUAACCUGCCUUGUACUGGGGGACAACAGUUAGAAAUGACUGCUAAUACCGCAUAAGCGCACAGUAUCGCAUGAUACAGUGUGAAAAACUCCGGUGGUACAAGAUGGACCCGCGUCUGAUUAGCUAGUUGAUAAGGUAACGGCUUACCAAGGCGACGAUCAGUAGCCGACCUGAGAGGGUGACCGGCCACAUUGGGACUGAGACACGGCCCAA